rnacentral:rRNA from 1 species
GAUGAACGCUAGCGGCAGGCCUAAUACAUGCAAGUCGAACGAUAGAAGAGGGCUUGCUCUCUUCGAAAGUGGCGCACGGGUGCGUAACGCGUAUGCAACCUACCUUAAUCAGGGGGAUAGCCCGAAGAAAUUCGGAUUAACACCGCAUAAAAUCACAGUACAGCAUUGUAAAAUGAUCAAAUAUUUAUAGGAUUAAGAUGGGCAUGCGUGACAUUAGCUAGUUGGCGGGGUAACGGCCCACCAAGGCGACGAUGGCUAGGGGAUCUGAGAGGAUGACCCCCCACACUGGUACUGAGAACAGGACCAGACUCCUACGGGAGGAAGCAGUAAGGAAUAUUGGUCAAUGGAGGCAACUCUGAACCAGCCAUGCCGCGUGCAGGAAGACGGCCCUCUGGGUUGUAAACUGCUUUUAUUCGGGAAUAAACCUCAUUAUGUAUAGUGAGCUGAAUGUACCGAAGGAAUAAGGAUCGGCUAACUCCGUGCCAGCCGCCGCCGUAA